rnacentral:lncRNA from 1 species
AACGACCCUCGUGACAGCCAGAGAAUGUCCGUUUCUCGGAGCGCAGCACAGCCUGUCCCAUCGAGAAGCCUCGGGUGGACAUGGACUCCAUGGAAGCCUGAGCUGCCAGGGGCUUCCCUGGGGCAGCACUGCUUCGCGUAGGCUCACGAGAAACUUCCAGGGUUCCUGGCGCCAGCCUUUCAACAGAGCAGCACAUUAUGCCUGGAUAAGACUCAAAGAGCAGCUUAAUAUCAGGUUCUCUGGGGCUGUAAUCAUCGGUUCAGGAUGGAGCAGACACAGCCGCAGCAAGGCCUCUGUGCAGCCCCCGGUUUAAAACACAUCAACGCAUCCGUGGGCACUUUUCGUAAGAAAAAUCACAUCCUGUUCCCCAGUAGCUGAGGAAAGCCGGCUCACGAGAGUAUACAGGGAGAAGAGGCCAGCAUUGUGUGGCUGCCAGCAAAGCUCACUUGUAUGUCAAAUGCAGCGCUUUUCUUAGCCCAUUAUGUAUUUUUUUUUUCUUGAACACUCCUGUGUCUACUGGGAUCUCCUGUUUUUAUUGUUUUGGGAUGAGAUUUUAAAAACACCAUUUAAUGUA